GACAAUAAAUUUACCCGAGGGAGAGCGAAUGACAAGAGCGACGCCGCCUAGGGUUCUAAGGUGCCGGUUUCCCCCUCCCCCGCCGAAAAAAAAAAUCGAUUACGGCAGCGGGCGGAGGGGUAAUAUUCGUGCGCUAGAAUCUCAGUUCGAAGGCUAUCUAAAAUGACGCAAACCUCAAGAAGUGACGGGUGUUGCGGACUGGUUUUCGUUAUGCUUGGCAUUAUAUCAUUUCUAGGAUUUCUGUAUGCCGCCAUCCUGUCCAAGCUUCUUCCGCCACCGGAGAACCCAUUUUUGUCCGCCAUUCAGAAUGACAGGUAUUAUUGCUUAUUGCUGCCCUUGACUCUUCCAGUUUUGGUUGUUGCUGUAUAUUUGCAUUGGCUCAGCAUGAAACUUUUCAGGCAUGCAUAACUCGAUCCCAUUCCUCAUGUCUCAUUGUUCUUAUUCUUCUACAAUCAAGUGCACUUGACAAGGUGGAGAUGUAUAACUCUUGCUAGGCAAAGGAUGCAAGUUAAAAAAAAAUUCUAGCAUAAAAGAAAUUUAAGUAUACUGGUAACAGGUAUUAAACUCUGCUAAAUCAUCGCUAUAUAAGUAUUGGUAAAAAUUUAGCUGAAGCUGGAGAAUAGAACGAUGCAAUCUAACAUGAUUGCGUUUAAAUAAGCAAGGAGAGGAUGUUUCUGGUACUAUCUUUGAGAUGCGCAAAUGUUUUGGGUGAGAAAAAGAGUUGAUGAAGGGAGUCGCCAGAGCUGAGAUUUGUUGUUGUACGGGCUCCUUUGAUUCUUUGGUCGGCGGAUUUACUGAUGGAGACCCUCCUACAAAUCACUGAGGAAACUGUUAGAAGGCACCGAUGCCGGACACCCCGAUGACCCUCUGAUGCUUAAGUCAGUGAUUUUAGGAAGAUGAUAGUGAAAAUCCAUUCAAAGUUUAGAAUGAAAUCAGACUUAUAUUUCUUUACUAAUGUUACCUCUAUUAAUGCUAAUUUGGAGGGGUAAAUCGGGGAGAGAGGGAGGACUAUGUGGCAUCUAUCUGGUCUACUCAGCUAAGUCGUAUGGAAGCUUCCUGCGUAAUUGAAUUGUCCAUUUGUCCCUCUGGUGUUGGCCAAGGUAGUUAGGAUGUCUAGAGAGGCCGUGGAGAGAAUCAUUUUGAUGAUUGUAAUGCCGCCCUCAUGUGAGUUAAUCAUACCAUGUCACGUGAAGGGAAAGUGCGGUCGUCUUGCCUUGGCGAGCAGGGUAUUUGGGCGCAGCUCAGACAAUUUGGUAUAACUUUGGACGAGCAGAGGUCGAUCCACCUUAAACAAGGGAUGGGUGACCAUGCCGCCCGAGACAUCAUCAACUCGUUAAGUCUGUGUGUUCAUGCUGUUCGGCUCUGUGUCCGGACUCUUAGUAAGACACGAGACAUUGUCUUGUUGGCAGUUUUUCAAAGCUCGGUUUUGUGGCAUAACAAUAAUAUUAGAUUUAAACGUGUUUCUUCAUUAAAAAAAAUUGCUGUAUCUAAAUGUUGGGAAAUUAAUAUCAAAGUCAAGAAUGGGCGCUUGAAGAUCAUCUUGGAAUUGGAGAUUAGAAUGUUGCCUUGCAAGUGUUUAGCUCCACAUUACCGAGCUUUGAAAAACUGUUCUUGGGGUUAUAUAAUUCUUUGACAAUUGUUCCUGUAUCGGAGAUUCUAAGAAUUGUAUCGACUGGUGUUGGGAGUUGUCAAACACAUUGUGGAUGAGUGAGGGUUUGACUUUGUAGAUUGUUGAAAAUGUGAGAGAGAGAACUCUCUCCUGUAUUUUGUACUUAUUCUCUCGGUCGUUUUAUCUGUGAAUGUAGGCUUAAGCCAAACAAUUCGUUAAUGUCUCAUGUCUUUAGAAACUA